rnacentral:rRNA from 1 species
GACGAACGCUGGCGGCGUGCCUAAUACAUGCAAGUCGAACGCAGUGGGGACGGGUGAGUAACACGUGGGUAACCUCCCAUCAGAGGGGAUAACACUUGGAAACAGGUGCUAAACCGAUACUGAUGGAUGGACUCGCGGUGCAUUAGCUAGUUGGUGAGGUAACGGCUCACCAAGGCCACGAUGCAAGGACAACCGUAGAGGUUGAUCGGUCACACUGGUACUGAAACACGGCCCAUACUCCUACGGGGGGCAGCAGUAGGGAAUCUUCGUCAAUGGACGAAAGUCUGACCGAGCAACGCCGCUUGAGUGAAGAAGGUUUUCGGAUCGUAAAACUCUGUUGUUAGAAAAGCGGUAUCUAACCAGAAAGCCACGGCUAACUACGUGCCAGCCGCCGCGGUAAUUC